UUAAGCGACUAAGCGUACACGGUGGAUGCCCUGGCAGUCAGAGGCGAUGAAGGACGUGCUAAUCUGCGAUAAGCGCCGGUAAGGUGAUAUGAACCGUUAUAACCGGCGAUUUCCGAAUGGGGAAACCCAGUGUGAUUCGUCACACUAUCAUUAACUGAAUCCAUAGGUUAAUGAGGCGAACCGGGGGAACUGAAACAUCUAAGUACCCCGAGGAAAAGAAAUCAACCGAGAUUCCCCCAGUAGCGGCGAGCGAACGGGGAGGAGCCCAGAGCCUGAAUCAGCAUGUGUGUUAGUGGAAGCGUCUGGAAAGGCGCGCGAUACAGGGUGACAGCCCCGUACACAAAAGCGCAUGUGCUGUGAGCUCGAUGAGUAGGGCGGGACACGUGGUAUCCUGUCUGAAUAUGGGGGGACCAUCCUCCAAGGCUAAAUACUCCUGACUGACCGAUAGUGAACCAGUACCGUGAGGGAAAGGCGAAAAGAACCCCGGCGAGGGGAGUGAAAAAGAACCUGAAACCGUGUACGUACAAGCAGUGGGAGCACAGGUUUACCUGUGUGACUGCGUACCUUUUGUAUAAUGGGUCAGCGACUUAUAUUCUGUAGCAAGGUUAACCGUAUAGGGGAGCCGUAGGGAAACCGAGUCUUAACCGGGCGUUAAGUUGCAGGGUAUAGACCCGAAACCCGGUGAUCUAGCCAUGGGCAGGUUGAAGGUUGGGUAACACUAACUGGAGGACCGAACCGACUAAUGUUGAAAAAUUAGCGGAUGACCUGUGGCUGGGGGUGAAAGGCCAAUCAAACCGGGAGAUAGCUGGUUCUCCCCGAAAGCUAUUUAGGUAGCGCCUCGUGAAUUCAUCUCCGGGGGUAGAGCACUGUUUCGGCUAGGGGGCCAUCCCGGCUUACCAACCCGAUGCAAACUGCGAAUACCGGAGAAUGUUAUCACGGGAGACACACGGCGGGUGCUAACGUCCGUCGUGAAGAGGGAAACAACCCAGACCGCCAGCUAAGGUCCCAAAGUCAUGGUUAAGUGGGAAACGAUGUGGGAAGGCCCAGACAGCCAGGAUGUUGGCUUAGAAGCAGCCAUCAUUUAAAGAAAGCGUAAUAGCUCACUGGUCGAGUCGGCCUGCGCGGAAGAUGUAACGGGGCUAAACCAUGCACCGAAGCUGCGGCAGCGAACGUAUCACCCAAGACAACUUUACGGAGUUGACGAUUGACGGAGCGAAGCGACGUCAAAGCGUUCAUUAAAGUCGAGUUGGCUUAGGGAUACGUUCGUUGGGUAGGGGAGCGUUCUGUAAGCCUGUGAAGGUGUGUCGUGAGGCAUGCUGGAGGUAUCAGAAGUGCGAAUGCUGACAUAAGUAACGAUAAAGCGGGUGAAAAGCCCGCUCGCCGGAAGACCAAGGGUUCCUGUCCAACGUUAAUCGGGGCAGGGUGAGUCGACCCCUAAGGCGAGGCCGAAAGGCGUAGUCGAUGGGAAACGGGUUAAUAUUCCCGUACUUGGUGUUACUGCGAAGGGGGGACGGAGAAGGCUAUGUUGGCCGGGCGACGGUUGUCCCGGUUUAAGCGUGUAGGUGUGUGUUCCAGGUAAAUCCGGUUCACUUUAACACUGAGGCGUGACGACGAGGCACUACGGUGCUGAAGCAACAAAUGCCCUGCUUCCAGGAAAAGCCUCUAAGCAUCAGGUAACACGAAAUCGUACCCCAAACCGACACAGGUGGUCAGGUAGAGAAUACCAAGGCGCUUGAGAGAACUCGGGUGAAGGAACUAGGCAAAAUGGUGCCGUAACUUCGGGAGAAGGCACGCUGACACGUAGGUGAAGUGAUUUACUCAUGGAGCUGAAGUCAGUCGAAGAUACCAGCUGGCUGCAACUGUUUAUUAAAAACACAGCACUGUGCAAACACGAAAGUGGACGUAUACGGUGUGACGCCUGCCCGGUGCCGGAAGGUUAAUUGAUGGGGUCAGCGCAAGCGAAGCUCCUGAUCGAAGCCCCGGUAAACGGCGGCCGUAACUAUAACGGUCCUAAGGUAGCGAAAUUCCUUGUCGGGUAAGUUCCGACCUGCACGAAUGGCGUAAUGAUGGCCAGGCUGUCUCCACCCGAGACUCAGUGAAAUUGAACUCGCUGUGAAGAUGCAGUGUACCCGCGGCAAGACGGAAAGACCCCGUGAACCUUUACUAUAGCUUGACACUGAACAUUGAGCCUUGAUGUGUAGGAUAGGUGGGAGGCUUUGAAGUGUGGACGCCAGUCUGCAUGGAGCCGACCUUGAAAUACCACCCUUUAAUGUUUGAUGUUCUAACGUGGACCCGUAAUCCGGGUUGCGGACAGUGUCUGGUGGGUAGUUUGACUGGGGCGGUCUCCUCCUAAAGAGUAACGGAGGAGCACGAAGGUUGGCUAAUCCUGGUCGGACAUCAGGAGGUUAGUGCAAUGGCAUAAGCCAGCUUGACUGCGAGCGUGACGGCGCGAGCAGGUGCGAAAGCAGGUCAUAGUGAUCCGGUGGUUCUGAAUGGAAGGGCCAUCGCUCAACGGAUAAAAGGUACUCCGGGGAUAACAGGCUGAUACCGCCCAAGAGUUCAUAUCGACGGCGGUGUUUGGCACCUCGAUGUCGGCUCAUCACAUCCUGGGGCUGAAGUAGGUCCCAAGGGUAUGGCUGUUCGCCAUUUAAAGUGGUACGCGAGCUGGGUUUAGAACGUCGUGAGACAGUUCGGUCCCUAUCUGCCGUGGGCGCUGGAGAACUGAGGGGGGCUGCUCCUAGUACGAGAGGACCGGAGUGGACGCAUCACUGGUGUUCGGGUUGUCAUGCCAAUGGCACUGCCCGGUAGCUAAAUGCGGAAGAGAUAAGUGCUGAAAGCAUCUAAGCACGAAACUUGCCCCGAGAUGAGUUCUCCCUGAGACUUAGAGUCUCCUGAAGGAACGUUGAAGACGACGACGUUGAUAGGCCGGGUGUGUAAGCGCAGCGAUGCGUUGAGCUAACCGGUACUAAUGAACCGUGAGGCUUAACCUU
rnacentral:rRNA from 2 species